rnacentral:rRNA from 1 species
AUUGAACGCUGGCGGCAGGCCUAACACAUGCAAGUCGAGCGGAUGAAGGGAGCUUGCUCCUGGAUUCAGCGGCGGACGGGUGAGUAAUGCCUAGGAAUCUGCCUGGUAGUGGGGGAUAACGUCCGGAAACGGGCGCUAAUACUGCAUACGUCCUGAGGGAGAAAGUGGGGGAUCUUCGGACCUCACGCUAUCAGAUGAGCCUAGGUCGGAUUAGCUAGUUGGUGGGGUAAAGGCCUACCAAGGCGACGAUCCGUAACUGGUCUGAGAGGAUGAUCAGUCACACUGGAACUGAGACACGGUCCAGACUCCUACGGGAGGCAGCAGUGGGGAAUAUUGGACAAUGGGCGAAAGCCUGAUCCAGCCACGCCGCGUGUGUGAAGAAGGUCUUCGGAUUGUAAAGCACUUUAAGUUGGGAGGAAGGGCAGUAAGUUAAUACCUUGCUGUUUUGACGUUACCAACAGAAUAAGCACCGGCUAACUUCGUG